GGACUUUUAAAUCCCCACGCGGCUCCAAUGCGCAGCCAGGACCCAGCCCAGGAGCCCUAUACGAGGCGGCGGGCUCCUACAUGCUGAAUGUGUAUACAAAAGGUUUGCUAGUACCCUUGGUCUCCAGUCAUCCCAGGAAGGCUCAAGAUGGAAGCAAACUCAACACCGUGUGCCAGCAAAGAGCACUGGAUCUGGAUCCCGCGGAGUCACUGCGCCUCCCUAUGUGUGUCAGUUUCUCAUCUGUAAAGUGGGGGCAAUGUCUUACUUCAGCCCCCUCCACGGCUGUGAGCAGCAUCACCAGUUUGAACUGAGAGGAUCCUAUUUGACCCGAAGAGCCACCCCGUCUGGUGGCUGGAAUCUGGCCAUGACCGUGGUCCAUUUCAGACCAUGUGGACAAGGGCCAUGUCUUGGGGAACUGGCAGAGCAACUAUCUAGAAGAAUCCUGGGUCCCCAGUAUGGAGCUGAGGUGUUUGGCUCCAUGGUCAGAAUCCUAAUAGACUUGGCCACGAAUUCCACUGCAGGAUGCGCAGGGAGCCCGGCCGACAAGCACCAGCAAGCAGCCCUGACCUAAGGUGAUGCUCUAAACGGAACCUACUGGAUCAUGUCACACACCACCCCCCACACCUACUUAGGAAAUUCUGAGAAUUCCCAUCAGCUCAACUGAGCCUGAACUCCCUGACAGCCCAAAGCAGGGCCUUCACAACAAGCCCCACCAUUUGGUUCCACCUUCCACACUCCCCCACGGUCGCUAGAGCUGUUCCAAACUACCCACGGCUCUGAGUCGUGAAGGUCACGGCCUCCUCCAGGCAGCUAUUCACUCCCCCAGGCCGAGUCAGUCAUGCCCUCCUCUGCCCUCCCACCACCCCUUAACCUAAUACCCUAUUAAUACCCUAUUAUAGCACACAUCAUGAGGCAUUCUCGUUGCAUUUAGCUGUGAAGGCAAGGGCUCCUAGAGGCAGAUAGGCUGAAACCUCAAGGCCCAAACUCACCAGCUGUGUGAUCUUAGGCCAGUCGCACAGCCUCUCUGGGCCUC